rnacentral:rRNA from 1 species
GUCUACAGCCAAACCACCCUGAAUGCCCCUGAUCAUCUGAUCUCGGAAGCUAAGCAGAGUCAGGCCUGGUUAGUACUUGGAUGGGAAAAAAAAAAAUCUAAGACCUUUCUGGGCCGGUGACC